GAUGAAGAACGCAGCGAAAUGCGAUAAGUAAUGUGAAUUGCAGAAUUCAGUGAAUCAUCGAAUCUUUGAACGCACAUUGCGCCCUCUGGUAUUCCGGGGGGCAUGCCUGUUCGAGAGUCAUUAUAACCACUCAAGCUCUCGCUUGGUAUUGGAGUUCGCGAUCUCGCGGCUCCUAAAAUCAGUGGCGGUGCCUGUCGGCUCUACGCGUAGUAAUACUCCUCGCGAUUGAGUCCGGUAGGUUUACUUGCCAGCAACCCCCAAUUUUUACAGGUUGACCUCGGAUCAGGUAGGGAUACCCGCUGAACUUAAGCAUAUCAAUAAGCGGAGGA
rnacentral:misc_RNA from 1 species